GAUGAACGCUAGCGGCAGGCUUAAUACAUGCAAGUCGAGGGGUAGCAAGAUUGUAGCAAUACAAUUGUUGACGACCGGCAAACGGGUGCGGAACACGUACACAACCUUCCUACAAGUGGGGAAUAGCCCAGAGAAAUUUGGAUUAAUACCCCGUAACAUAGCGAUGUGGCAUCACAUUGCUAUUAUAGCUUCGGCGCUUGUUGAUGGGUGUGCGGCGGAUUAGAUAGUUGGCGGGGUAACGGCCCACCAAGUCUACGAUCAGUAGCUGAUGUGAGAGCAUGAUCAGCCACACGGGCACUGGGACACGGGCCCGACUCCUACGGGAGGCAGCAGUAAGGAAUAUUGGACAAUGGACGCAAGUCUGAUCCAGCCAUGCCGCGUGAAGGAUUAAGGUCCUCUGGAUUGUGAACUUCUUUUAUAAGGGAUGAAAAAAGGUCUUUCUAGAUCGUCUGACGGUACCUUAUGAAUAAGCACCGGCUAACUCCGUGCCAGCCGCCGCGGUAACAC
rnacentral:rRNA from 1 species